rnacentral:rRNA from 1 species
AUACGUAGGGGGCGAGCGUUGUCCGGAAUGAUUGGGCGUAAAGGGCGCGUAGGCGGCGCGGUAAGUCUGGAGUGAAAGUCCUGCUUUCAAGGUGGGAAUUGCUUUGGAUACUGCCGCGCUUGAGUGCAGGAGAGGGUAUCGGAAUUCCCGGUGUAGCGGUGAAAUGCGUAGAGAUCGGGAGGAACACCAGUGGCGAAGGCGGGUACCUCGACUGCAACUGACGCUGAGUCGCGAAAGUGUGGGGAGCAAACAGGAUUAGAUACCCGGGUAGUCCCCACUGUAAACGAUGAAUGCUAGGUGUAAGAGGUAUCGGGCCCUUUUGUGCCAGAGUCAACACAAGAAGCGUGACGCCUGGGGAGUACGGCCGCAAGGUUGAAACUCAAAUGAAUUGACGAGG